AAGUAUGUUUUCCUGGCACUAUAGUGCUCCUUUAAGUGGUCUUGCUAUGCAAGAACACUUAAAGGACCACUAUAGUGCCAGGAAAACAUACUCG